rnacentral:rRNA from 1 species
GACGAACGCUGGCGGCGUGCUUAACACAUGCAAGUCGAACGAUGAAGCCGGAGCUUGCUCUGGUGAAUUAGUGGCGAACGGGUGAGUAACACGUGAGUAACCUGCCCUUGACUCUGGGAUAACUGCUAGAAAUGGUAGCUAAUACCGGAUACGACCCUCGGAGGCAUCUUCAGGGGGUGGAAAGAAUUUCGGUCAAGGAUGGACUCGCGGCCUAUCAGCUAGUUGGUGAGGUAAUGGCUCACCAAGGCGACGACGGGUAGCCGGCCUGAGAGGGUGACCGGCCACAGUGGGACUGAGACACGGCCCAGACUCCUACGGGAGGCAGCAGUGGGGAAUAUUGCACAAUGGGCGCAAGCCUGAUGCAGCAACGCCGCGUGAGGGAUGACGGCCUUCGGGUUGUAAACCUCUUUUAGUAGGGAGGAAGCGAAAGUGACGGUACCUGCAGAAAAAGCACCGGCUAACUACGUGCCAGCCGCCGCGGUAA